GGUUAUGGGUUUAGGUGUAGGGUUUAGGGUUAUGGGUUUAGGUGUAGGGUUUAGGGUUAUGGUUUAGGUGUAGGGUUUAGGGUUAUGGGUUUAGGUGUAGGGUUUAGGGUUAUGGGUUUAGGUGUAGGGUUUAGGGUUAUGGUUUAGGUGUAGGGUUUAGGGUUAUGGUUAAGGUGUAGGGUUUAGGGUUAUGGUUAAGGUUAUGGGUUUAGGUGUAGGGUUUAGGGUUAUGGUUAAGGUUAUGGGUUUAGGUGUAGGGUUUAGGGUUAUGGUUAAGGUGUAGGGUUUAGGGUUAUGGUUAAGGUGUAAGGUUUAGGGUUAUGGUUAAGGUUAGGGUUUAGGGUUAUGGGUUUAGGUGUAGGGUUUAGGGUUAUGGGUUUAGGUGUAGGGUUUAGGGUUAUGGUUUAGGUGUAGGGUUUAGGGUUAUGGUUUAGGUGUAGGGUUUAGGGUUAUGGGUUUAGGUGUAGGGUUUAGGGUUAUGGUUUAGGUGUAGGGUUUAGGGUUAUGGGUUUAGGUGUAGGGUUUAGGGUUAUGGUUAAGGUUAGGGUUUAGGGUUAUGGGUUUAGGUGUAGGGUUUAGGGUUAUGGUUAAGGUGUAGGGUUUAGGGGUUUUGGUUUAGGUGUAGGGUUUAGGGUUAUGGUUUAGGUGUAGGGUUUAGGGUUAUGGUUUAGGGUUUAGGUUUU
ensembl:lncRNA